CCGGACCACGCGGAACGGCUGCCUCCCUCGCACUCGUCCUUAGCCCCGCAGCAGCUCGACGGAAGGACUCCAAGCAGCGGGUGCUCGACGGCCGGACUCGAACUGUGAAGAUGGUCAUGAAGAUGAACACAAGAAAAAAGAUGGUUAGGGGAGCUGCUGUUUUUGUUGCACUAGCUGCAAUGGCUGCUGUUUUUGAUGCUUUUGAGAAUUUCUUAUGUGAACUAUAUGGUUGUAUGUGCAACUUGUAGAAAAUUAUGUUCUGUGCUGUCAUUCAUGUGUUAUAAACUUGUCAAUAUCUAUUGUUAUGUUGUUUUUAAUCAAAUUACAAACGAAA